AUUGAACGCUGGCGGCAUGCUUUACACAUGCAAGUCGAACGGUAACAGGCCUUCGGGUGCUGACGAGUGGCGCACGGGUGAGUAAUGCAUCGGAACGUACCCAGAGGUGGGGGAUAACGCAGCGAAAGCUGUGCUAAUACUGCAUGUGAUCUGAGGAUGAAAGCGGGGGACCGAGCAGCAAUGUUUGGCCUCGCGCCUUUGGAGCGGCCGAUGUCGGAUUAGCUAGUUGGUGGGGUAAAGGCCUACCAAGGCGACGAUCCGUAGCUGGUCUGAGAGGACGACCAGCCACACUGGGACUGAGACACGGCCCAGACUCCUACGGGAGGCAGCAGUGGGGAAUUUUGGACAAAGGGCGCAAGCCUGAUCCAGCAAUGCCGCGUGCGGGAAGAAGGCCUUCGGGUUGUAAACCGCUUUUGGCAGGAACGAAACGGUGUCCGCUAAUACCGGGCGCUAAUGACGGUACCUGCAGAAUAAGCACCGGCUAACUACGUG
rnacentral:rRNA from 1 species